GCAUAAAAAAAAUGUGCAGAUGUACUAAACUGAGCCUCACACUUGUUGAUAAGGAGUAUCUUUCCUACCAAAAAAGUUUGGCAAAUGUAAUUCAUCAAGAAGAUCAGCCGAAUUAUUUUGUGUAUUAUAACGCCAGUUAGAACUCUGAAUUUCCCCUACUUUCACUUUCAUUUUUAGAGGUUGCCGCAGACAGACGCAUUUUGCCGGAAAACGAAUCUGACAUGCCACCUCGAGAUUUUGACCAAGGAAAGACAAGUUGAUGUGCUUUGAUUUGAGGGGUCACUCACUGCUGAACGAAAAUUAGGGACAUCGCUUUGAGAAGAAACGUUAACAUUGUCGCCUAUGGGAAAACAAUUAGUGGACUGUACCCAUAUUGGGAAGCCUAUAAGGUCAUGGUCAUUGGUACAGGAAAACCAUGAGGUUCAUGUAGGUGGUGUUUAAAACUAUUGGCCAGCAAACACACACCCAUUUGAAAACAUCUUGAAACUUCACGGUCACCAGCAAAAAGUGGCAGUUGGCAAAAUGUAGGUUGCCGCAGACAGACGCAUUUUGCCGGAAAACGAAUCUGACAUGCCACCUCGAGAUUUUGACCAAGGAAAGACAAGUUGAUGUGCUUUGAUUUGAGGGGUCACUCACUGCUGAACGAAAAUUAGGGACAUCGCUUUGAGAAGAAACGUUAACAUUGUCGCCUAUGGGAAAACAAUUAGUGGACUGUACCCAUAUUGGGAAGCCUAUAAGGUCAUGGUCAUUGGUACAGGAAAACCAUGAGGUUCAUGUAGGUGGUGUUUAAAACUAUUGGCCAGCAAACACACACCCAUUUGAAAACAUCUUGAAACUUCACGGUCACCAGCAAAAAAUGGCAGUUGGCAAAAUGUAGGUUGCCGCAGACAGACGCAUUUUGCCGGAAAACGAAUCUGACUUGCCACCUCGAGAUUUUGACCAAGGAAAGACAAGUUGAUGUGCUUUGAUUUGAGGGGUC